AACGAACGCUGGCGGCAGGCUUAACACAUGCAAGUCGAACGCCCCGCAAGGGGAGUGGCGCACGGGUGAGUAACGCGUGGAUAUCUGCCUUUUGGUUCGGAAUAACCCCGGGAAACUGGGGCUAAUACCGGAUGGUUCCUACGGGAUAAAGAUUUAUCGCCAAAAGAUGAGUCAGCGUACGAUUAGCUAGUUGGUGAGGUAAUGGCUCACCAAGGCGACGAUCGUUAGCUGGUCUGAGAGGACGAUCAGCCACACUGGGACUGAGGCACGGCCCAGACUCCUACGGGAAGCAGCAGUGGGGAAUAUUGGACAAUGGGGGCAACCCUGAUCCAGCCAUGCCGCGUGAGUGAUGGAGGCCUUCGGGUUGUAAAGCUCUUUUGGCGGGGACGAUGAUGACGGUACCCGCAGAAUAAGCCCCGGCUAACUUCGUG
rnacentral:rRNA from 1 species